CAUAGGAAUCAAUAGAACAGGCAAAUCUCUCAAUAAUAUGCAGAUAAGUGGGUCUCAAAGAUCUUGUUUCAAAUAUUCCUGUCUACAAUGGAGCUAGUGGUAAUGGUUCCACCUUGUGAGAGGUGUAAACCUGCUGCUUCUCUAUUGUAAUUAAAAUGUGGCCUUGCUUCCAGAGGAGGCAUCCGGAGAACUGAGCUUGACUUUGAGGCGUUGGUCCACAAAAAUUGGUCGUGUCUCCAUGUCCAACAACCGAGGUGAGAAGUUUGGCAGAGAGGGAGAGUCAUUCCUUGGAACAUCAUUGGAUGGGAAAGGAUCUCAAAUUAUACGUAUGUCCUGAAAGAAGGGAAUGUGAGGUUUGAACGCCACAAGUUGAGCGGCUGCAAGUGGGUGCAUGUUGAUCCCAAGGUCAUCUUCUUCACCCCAUUUAUGCAAGUGCUGCUGCUAAAGCUGAUGCUGAGAGCCAGUUAUGCUAGUUAUAAGCAUUCAACCUGGGUGAAACAAUUCUUUUAUCUCUUGAUAGGCUCCAGCAUAACUAAGUUUUGUAAUAACAUGUUGGAUUUAUAUAUUUCAAAAAUCAUUGCUUAACAGACAGAGGUGGAUGCCAAUGAUUCAAAUUGGAAACUCAGCCAUGCUCUAAGUGCUUGGUUACUUGAUUAGCAUGCUAUAGCAUAAUGAUUUUGGUUCAAAGCUAAAACUGUAAAACAUUAUGUAAGACACUUAAAGGCAAAGUGUGUUGAUCAAAUUAUUGCACGUCUUGUUAAAAAACAAAAAUGCUUGAAGUUCU